CAAUUUCUAUCAUAGUUGCCGAUGCUUUGUCCAGGUUGUAGUUCAAAUUAGGUUGUUGUAAACGGUAUCUGUGUGAUUCUUAUCCAACUUUCCCUUCCCUGUUCUUGUCAGUGUAUCCUAACAAAAUGUCGAUCCGCAGGGUUGGUUCUCAACCGAGCAGUGGGGGGUGACGCCGCACCCGCACGCUUCCAUGAUUUUCAGUCCGAUCACUCCCGGGUACCAAUGCAGGGGCACCCUCCCUUGAGCUGCGCAAUGCAUGGAUGAGGUUCGGUAUUGGGGGCUUUACAUGCUUCGAGACGUAGACAAGGAUGCUGAAUGCGCGCCUGCAGCCAGUAGACAAGGAUGCGGUGACAGAUGUGCAGAGGAAGGAGAUGAAUGUGGAAGGCCACCAGGGAGGCUACCAUCAAUAAUUGCAACGACACAACUUACAUGUUUCUUUUAUUUCAUAUCAUCAGCUCUUGAAAAUAUUUCUUAUUUGAAUGUGUCCGGGAACUUCUAUAGUUUGAUGUGCUUAGUCCGGCCCCUCACAUAUCGCAAAUCUGCUGCAUAGUUGCAAAGGCCGGCUGCAAGGACUGCUUUGCUGGAGUUGCUUUGCCGGAGAUCGGGGCCUGGAGAUGUUUGCUUGCCAAAAAUCUCACGCACAGGAGUGCUGUAACUGGAGGAGUUCCUUGCUUGCUUGCCGGAGAUGGCGGGUGGAUGGUUAAAUUUAGAUUAGAGGCAUAGAGCGGGUGUACUUCGUACACCAAAUAUCAAUUUGUCAAUCAUAUACGAAUGAAAACAGUAGGUUCUGGAUCAUAAAUGCUGUAUUUUGUUUUAUGUGGAGGCCUAUGGUGAAAUCAUGAAUCCUAAGGUUUUUAAUCAGAGACUUGCAUUUUAUUGUGACA